AUAAAAUUCACAAAUAUUUUUCAGUGAGUGUAAGAUGUUUCAUGUUUAAAAUAUAUUUAAAAAAAAUGAGAUCCUGACAUUAGUUCCCUGAUGAAGUAACUCCAUUAAACCAUGCCAAAGACAGAAGACCCUAACCAUCAAUGUCCUUAUUGUGACAGAUACUUCCCAAGAAGUCUUAUGAGGCAUAUCCGUGUGCAUGUUAGCAUGAGGCCAUAUGAAUGUAGGCGAUGCUUGAAGCAUUUCAACUCUGAUGCUGAAAUGAGGAGCCAUGCUAACCAAAUUCACCCAACAAAGUACAAAUGUGAAAUAUGUUACAAAACAUACUUUACUAUGGGUGCUCUUAAUGAGCACAGGGAUACCCAUGAUGUAACUGAGACUUUUAAUUGUCAUAUAUGUGAUAAGGAGGUUAUGCAGGAUUAUCAAAGUAACCACAUGGCUUUGCAUGAAGUCAACAAGCAGGCAGAUGAAGCUACAGCAGCAACUGCGGCUACUGGUACGUCAACAGAAAGUAAACCAACAGAAACUUAACAGAAAGUGAAACUUAAAUGUCCUAUUUGCAAAAAAGAACUUAGUGACAUGAAAUUUCUGAGACGUCAUUGGGGGCUUCAUAAUUUCAAUUCAUCACAGAAAGGAAUGCAGUAAAAAUGUAAAUGCUGUCAAGGAAUAUUCUCAAGGGAAUCUACAUUGUUUGAACAUUUGACGAAUAGUGGAAAGUGUCCUCAUGAUGUACAACAAGAAGAAAACGCUUUAUGAAUAAGUUUAUGUUGAUAUAUUUGAGUAUAAUUAACCAAGGCCUCAAGGCUCAAGUUAAAAAUAGUUAAUACCAAACUAUUGCCUAUUCAAGCCAUAUUUCUAUUUGUUCUUUUUCAUUAAGGGGAUAGGAAGCAAUAUGUGCAUUAGCAAGGCCAAACUAUUUAAUAGUUGUUGCCUAAUAAGCAUUGAAAAUGAUUUUUUUCUUUCCAGUGCUUAGAUUUUUGCCACAUGAUUUUUAUGUAUCUGUGGUUCAUAAAACAAAAAAGGCCACAAUAUCAACUACAGUAAUUAAUAAUGUAUCUUGCGAUCUAUUUUUAUUUUAGAUUGUAGCACAAUCAUUCUAUAAAAGUGAAUAGCAAAGAAAGGUUACAGUAGGUUUAUUUGAAAUUUCAACUUAACUCUUAUUUGAUUUCUGACUCAUGUCCAGUAAUCCCUCAUAUUUAGGGGAUAGUUUCACUUUGCCAGUUUUGUGUACUCUUGUUGAUAAAAUGCCAAAAAUCAUUAAUAUCAUGUAUACAUCUUGAAAUAUAUUUAUAAUAAGAAAAUGUGAAUUUACUUUCAACUUGCCAUUACAUAAAGUUUUUUUUAA